GUGCACAAGUGGAGCCGCUGGCUGUGAGCAGGAGCCAGGGCUGUUCCUGCAUUCCGACGGGUGUGCAUGUGCAGAUGCAGGUCAGCAGAUAGGGCAGUAGGAGCUUGGGAGACCGAGGGCUGCCAUUUUCCCUAUAUGUGGUGGAUCACAGAAUUCUGAAGGUUAUGACACCAAGACCAUGGAGCGUUUGUACCCUCACCUACUUCAUUUCCUUCACUUGUCAUGGAGUAGCAGCCCCAGCCCUGGCAGGUUGUCUGGAAGACAGCCAGGCAGCCAGAGACUUCAGGAAGAUUCUUCAAGGAGUCUUGGGAGGCUGCCAUCCCCUGAAUGAAGAGUGCAGGGCUAGGAUCCUUAAUUCUAACUACUGGGAGCGAUCUGUGACAGUUACGCGUUUGCUGUGUUUGUUUUUUGACCAUUUCUUGUGUAUUCACCUAUUUAUUCAUAAACUGAUAGCAAAGAAAUAAAUAAACAGGAGUUUUGUGACA